GUCACGGGUCAAAGCAGACGGGUGGGAUCGGACGCUUCGGUCGACCCGCCAUCAGACUUAUUUUCUAACAACAUGAGAGAGCCAGUUUUGUGCCUUUUCAAUUCAGCUAGUGAGUUAGAUGGACUUUUCGAAAAAGUGAAGAGUCUUGGCUACUCAAACACGGCGAGAACGUCUUCAGAUGCAACCAAAACACUUGAGUGGAAAUGUGCCAAUUGAGUUCAUGGUAUCUGCAUUCUGUAUUGAGGGCGUAUCCCACAGACAAUGUGUGCUUGGCCCUAAGUAUUACAAGAAAAAAGAAAUUUCUAUGGCAGAUCAUC